GAUGAACUAGGCAAUGGCACCCCACUCCAGUACUCUUGCCUGAAAAGUCCCAUGGACAGAGGAGCCUGGUAGGCUGCAGUCCAUGAGAUCGCGAAGAGUAGGACACGACUGACCGACUUCACUUUCACUUUUCACUUUCAUGCAUUGGAGAAGGAAAUGGCAACCCACUCCAGUGUUCUUGCCUGGAGAAUCCCAGGGAUGGGGGAGCCUGGUGGGCUGCCGUCUAUGGGGUCGCACAGAUUCGGACACGACUGAAGCGACUUAGCAGCAGCAGCAGCAGCAGCAGUAAUUCACUAGUGGCCAAGUGACUCUUCCUGAACUCACUGGUUCAGCCUCUAAGCUGGCUCCAGAAGCCUCAAUCCUCUCGCCUUGGUGUUUGGAAGCUUUGUGAGGAGGACAUUGCAGUAGGCAGCUGAGUUAGGCUCCAGUAUGCUCAGGGUCUGCUUGUGAGUGACCUGCUCUCUCCGGUACCUCAUUCUCUGUAUUCCCAGUGUAGGGGUGGAGACGAGCAUAAUAAGUCUCAGAAAUAUCAAAAUGAGCUCCUCAGCAGGAAUGGUUGGAGACCCUGGAGAAGAUUGGUCAAUGUCUCUUGCUGAAGUCAGAGAAAAGUUAAGAAGGUUAAAUAGUCUCACCUUGGGGGUUGCCAGUUAUUACCUGCCUGGUCUUGAUGCCCAGAGUCAUUUGAUUUUGAAAACAUGCCAAGCAAUGAUGAUGGAACUCUAAUCCCUG
rnacentral:lncRNA from 1 species